rnacentral:sRNA from 1 species
AAACUACAAGGGGAGCCGAAGCUCCCCCAGAAGUAGUUGCGUGCUCUAUUUUUAUUAUGGUUGCGGGCUUCUUGUUUUUGUUGAUCGCCCUAUGCCACUAGGUUUCAAGCCUGUGGGCACUCCCAAUUGGGAGCCAAGAGCAAACGGAUUGCUUUGAUCGCUGUAGUGUCAUGAUCCAGAGGAUCCAACCAGUUCAGGCGCUGCUUUGAGGGCAGUU